rnacentral:lncRNA from 1 species
UGCAGGCCCAUCGGGGGGCUCUAGCGGUGUCAGCCCGGCAGAAGAGGAAGGGAAGCCGGGCUCCCCAGGUCCCCUGGGACGCUCGCAGACCCCGGCCAGCCUCACGCCCAGCCCGGGCCUGCUGCGGGACCACCAGCUUCUGCUCGAGGGGGUGCGAAAAUGCCGUAACCCAGCCCCGCGCUCCUCUCCCGGCCACGUUUCCUUUGUCAUCUCCUGGGUAUUACCCUUCUAAAGAAGUUCUCAGCCCUUUUAUAAACACAAGUGUGUGUGUGUGUGUGCAUGUGUGAGCGAGGCCGAGGCGCGUGCCCUGUGGAUAAAGGCAGGCAUUGAGGGCAGGAGCGCAGGCCGGGUGUCGGCACAGCCCCACGAAGCCACCUGCAGGCCUCAUACAGGCCGCACAUAGGCCCCUGUUGUGCUCUGAGCCAGCUGAUCCCCACUUUUUUUUCCAUUUCCAUGCCACUUUUCCCACUGCAUUGCACAGAGCCGCUAAUAAACAAGAAUUACAUUGUGCCUGGGAUGGAUUUUUUUUUUUCUUGAAGGCAGACCCCAGCAAGCUUGUGCCUUUUUUUUUUUUUUUUUGCCAGAGGAUAUUUUGCUCUGUUCAUUGUUGAUUUUGAGAGCUUGUCUUCUCUUUCCCUUUAUCCCUACGUGCUAAACACAGAAUCACGGGGCCUGCUCAUGAGGCAAGAGAUAAUACUGGCUCAUGAAGCAGCAACAAAAUCUAGCGAGGUCCCUGCUCCCACUCUCUCAAGAGGCUGUGAGGAGGAUAUGAGCACUCUUCAUCCGUUCCUGUGCAGAGUGAGCUAAAUUCACAUGAGCUGUUAUCAGAGCAGGGAACUCUGUGGUCGAGGAAUUAAUUUCCAGGAGCUAAUUCUGCAUCCAGAAGAUGUCCCAGCACGCAGCUGUCAUGGAAACGCGGAGCAGCACAAAGUUGGCCGCGAGGCUGCUGGCGGGGGGCUGCAGCUCCAGAAAUCACCAAGCACACGAACAAGUUCCUGAUGGUGAAUCCUGGUAAACCAAACCCUCGAAGAAGGUUGGAGAAAGAUCCAAACCCAUCCUUUGUGCUCAGCUCUGACCGUUCCGUCUCGCUCUGCCAAACCAGCCCAGCAAUGCAGCACAGUUCCCAGGGCUUUGGUCCUCCCAGCGAUGGGGAAGCACCACGAGGAAGCUUUCUGCCCGGUCGUAUUUCUGUGCUUCCAUUUCCAGGUCUGCUCAAGACACGCAGGAGGGAAGAUAGAAGGCAAAACCCCUGUGGGAACAGACUUGGGGCUGGAUCAGCUGGUUGGAUGGUUCAUGGAAAUUUGGGCCUGAACACGUUUCCUUAUGAGCUUGUCUUCUGGAUGAGUGUCCUUCAGGAUUUGUGGAGUUUUGUCCCAGAUUAGCCUCAUUCCAGGAAGGACAACAGAUUCCACCUGCCCCACCGUUUCAACAGAAGAAAAUGUAACGAGACCAUCUACUCCGAAAGAGGACAAGUUUUAGCACUUACGGAACGUCUCCAGGGAUUAUCA